rnacentral:rRNA from 1 species
UGGAAAAGGAUGUGGGAUUUCGAAGACAGCUAGGAUGUUGGCUUAGAAGCAGCCAUACAUUAAAAGAGUGCGUAACAGCUCACUAGUCGAGAGGUCCUGCGCCGAAAAUGUCCGGGGCUAAACACAACACCGAAGCCCGGGAAUGUAUUAUAUACAUUGGUAGAGGAGCAUUCUUAUAAGCGUAGAAGCCAUACCGAAAGGAGUGGUGGAGUAAUAAGAAGAGAGAAUGCCGGAAUGAGUAGCGAGAAAGAGGUGAGAAUCCUCUUGGCCGAAUAUCUAAGGUUUCCUGAGUAAAGCUGAUCUGCUCAGGGUAAGUCGGGGCCUAAGGCAAGGUCGAAAGACGUAGUCGAUGGAUAACAGGUACAGAUUCCUGUACUACAUAUAAUCAGAACUGUGGGGACACGGAGACUAAAAACCGAACCCGGGAGGACAAAAACCGGGGCAAGCGAAGUACCUGUAUGGGAGGCAAAUCCACCAUACAAAGGGAAGGCGUUAUGCGUACCGAAAAAUAGUAGGGAAGUCGGUUAGGGAGCCGUCAAGAAAAGCCGCUAUUGUAUUAUAUGUACCCGUACCGCAAACCGACACAGGUAGAUGAGGAGAGAAUCCUAAGGCCGGCGGGAGAAGCAUUGUUAAGGAACUCGGCAAAAUGACCCCGUAACUUCGGGAGAAGGGGUGCCACUAGCAAUAGUGGUCGCAGAAAAAAGGCUCAAGCAACUGUUUAGCAAAAACACAGGUCUAUGCGAAACCGUAAGGUGAAGUAUAUGGGCUGACGCCUGCCCGGUGCCGGAAGGUUAAGAGGAGAAGUCAGGAAACGAAGCUUUGAACCUAAGCCCCGGUAAACGGCGGCCGUAACUAUAACGGUCCUAAGGUAGCGAAAUUCCUUGUCGGGUAAGUUCCGACCCGCACGAAAGGCGUAAUGAUUUGAGCGCUGUCUCAACAAUGCACCCGGUGAAAUUGAAGUACCAGUGAAGAUGCUGGUUACCCGCGCCAGGACGGAAAGACCCCAUGGAGCUUUACUCCAGUUUGGUACUGGGAUUCGGUAAUACUCGUACAGGAUAGGUGGGAGACGAAGAAGUAUGGACGCCAGUUUAUACAGAGUCGAUGUUGGGAUACCACCCCUGUAUUACUGGAUUUCUAACCUGCAUCCGUGAACCGGAUGGGGGACAAUGCCAGACGGGGAGUUUGACUGGGGCGGUCGCCUCCGAAAGAGUAUCGGAGGCGCUCGAAGGUUCCCUCAGAAUGGUCGGAAACCAUUCAAAGAGUGCAAAGGCAGAAGGGAG